GAUGAACGCUGACAGAAUGCUUAACACAUGCAAGUCUUUGGCGAAGCUGUGCUUGCACAGCCUAGCCAAGGCGGACGGGUGAGUAACGCGUAAGGAACUUGCCCUGCAGUCAGGGAUAACAGACGGAAACGACUGAUAAGACCUGGUAAAGUCAGGCGGACUCAUGUCCAGCCUGAUGAAAAGAGAUGCUGCAGGAGAGCCUUGCGUCCUAUUAGCUUGUUGGUGGGGUAACGGCCCACCAAGGCGAUGAUAGGUAGCCGGCCUGAGAGGGUGGACGGCCACAAGGGGACUGAGAUACGGCCCUUACUCCUACGGGAGGCAGCAGUGGGGAAUAUUGGACAAUGGGGGCAAGCCUGAUACAGCAAUUCUGUGUGCACGAUGAAGGUUUUCGGAUUGUAAAGUGCUUUCAGCAGGGAAGAAAAAAUGACGGUACCUGCAGAAGAAGCGACGGCUAAAUACGUG
rnacentral:rRNA from 1 species